GUGUUCUCUUUUACUCCAUAUAGCUGGGAGCAAGUCUGUUUCUAACUGAGAUGAAUAGCGAGAUAGUUCCCUUAAAUAGUAGUAAUGUAAAAGUAUCACGCAGCUUUCGACAUUACUGGGUUUUACUACUAAAGUUUUACUUAUUUCAAUUUACCAUCUGCAUCAAAUAAGAACCUGUGGUGCAUAAUAUCGGCAGGAAUUAAACCAGGGUCAGUUUGGUAAGUCAAGCUUCGCCCCUCUUCGCUGCACAUAAGAAAUGACAGUUUUUUUUGUUUGUUUGUUUCUUUUUGGUUUUUGAGACAGGUCUCCCAUAUAGUUCAUGCAGCUCAGGAUGGCCUUGAACCCGUGGUGAUCCUCCUGCCUCAGCCUGCCCAGCAUUGGAAUUAUGGGCAUGUACCACUGAUGCUGGCCAAGAAAGCGCUAUGUAGCAAGAGAAGAAACGAGAGCCUGGAAUAGAACUACGUAAAAAAGACAGAUGAUGUGGGACAAGCAGAGGAACCGCCACCUCCGGCACAGCUCUGGAAAUUGCCAGAAAGGAGGGAAAAGGUGGUGGAGGAUGAAGAAAUGAGGACAGGAGUCAGAAUGCAGGAAGCUGAGGUCAGGUGGAGCCUGCGGUCUGAAGGGAGAAAGGAGCUGCCUAAGAACUGCAGGGCACGCACCGCCAGCAGGAGUUGGAGCAGGGGAAACUCCUCUCCGAAGGGGAGGAAGGGCCCACUAACCACUCAUGUGUCUGUCUGUCUGUCUCGCCUGGGCGCCUGGUGUUCCAGGGCUGGCCUUGCCGCAGCCCUGAGUAUGCGACCCAGCCAGCCCCAGCUCAGCUGCUUCCCACAGCGCUGGAUACACAAAAAGAAUCAGAAAAUAACUUUGUCCAAGGAGCCAAAGAAGACAAGGACUCGGGAAACUAGGGUUCAAAUGUGAUGUGAGGUGAGGGGAAUGCCCUGGAAAGGAAAACUCCCGAGUUGGAAAGUUGGAAAGUGUAGACGUGGCUGUCUGGAGGGCCAGGAGUUUUUGAAGAGUAGUGGUGUGAGAAGCAGGCUUUGACUUUUCUGUCGGAGCACAAGGCCAAGGCAACUCCAUUAUGGGUUUAAAUGACCUGCCCAUCUACUCUCUGUCCACACCACACACUCUAAUAUCCUGAGCUUCAAAAAAUGGUGACUGUGUACUUAUUCCUGGAACACUGCCUGUUGCCAAGAUAAAGAACCAAGAACUGCCCAUCCCAACCCAUAUGGCCUCUCUCCUCCCUCACAAUAAGAACCAAGGACUUUGUGUCCCUAACCCCACCCCUCUCUAACUUAGCACACUUGGUGUGCUAAGAGUCCGUCCACUAUGGUAGACCGUAAGGCUUUCCACUCAGCCAGUGAAUCUGAAGGUCAGCUGUCCUCCUGGGUAGGAAUGAAAGGUCAGCCCUCCUCUGUUCUGUGUGCCUGCUACCUUGAGCUUGUGCCCUUCUGCAGAAGUAAAAUGCCCAGUCAGGAUUUCUUGAUGACUGAGUGCUUCACUGCCUGCACCAAUUAUUUGAGUCUGAGGACUUAUUUCCAACAGUGGCACAGAGGCCACAGAGUUGAAAUUAGCAGUACAGGGAAAGAAGGAAACCGGGUGGCAGAUUUGGGGAUGGAGAGCUGUGGGGAAAAGUAUACAGGGAAAAGCGAUGUCAGGAAGCCGAGGAGAGAUACCCUUGGUGAAUUAGAAGUGUUGGCAAAGCAAAUAAACAAAAGAAAAACUAAAUGUCAGUGAGUAGAAGAAUGUUGAAUUAAUUGUAUGUUCGUACAGUAUUACAUACCCUUUGAAAGAGUAAAUCGGAUCCAAAAUAAUAACUGGAAGAGUGGCUAUGCUAAAUUAGAAAGCCAUUAAAAGAACACCGCAGACCAAUACGUGUAACCCAAUUGUGUUUUAUUGUCAUCUGUAAACACCCAUGUGUCUGUGUAAGCACAAGAGCUCUCCGGAAAGGUGUGCACCCAGUGGCCCACGCUGUGAUCUCCAGGGGAGUGGGACUGGAGUGCCGAGGAUUCUGUGAUCAACAGUCAUGUUCCACUUCUGACCGUCUACAGUGAGCGAAGGAUGAUUUGGAAAUACAUUGCAGUAUCCACUGCGGUGAGGAAAGCUAGCUGCAUUCUACCAAGGAGGAUCUGAGUGAGGAGCAUGGAAUGAAGACCUAGCAGGUCAAGGAGGAGUUAAGGUGGCCGAUGAAAUUGAUGUUACUGAUCCGCUGACCUUGAGAUGGAGAGAUUAGCCAGUUCUUCACGUGGACCCAAUAAAUUCAAGGUAACCCUUGAGUACACAUCUUUAGAAGUUAUUACUGUUGGAAUGGAUAAUUCUUCACCACACCAUAGAAUGAGAAGAUAUACUUGGCCUGAUUAUUUUCUUGGCUGUCCUGCUUCAGACCGCAAGCCUAGUGGAGGAGACUGAAAGACACAAAAAUGAAAUGGCACUCAGGAGCUGGACUGAGUCUUACUCAAGAGAAAGUCGCUGUACUGUUAGGCUCCUUACAGAGCAACUGACAGCACCGAAAGAGGCUCUUCACUCCUAAAUUCUUCAGGGUCUUAAAGAUACACCUCCCAAGCAGCUGGGAUUGCAGGCAAGCCGCAUUGUUCCUGGCCCUCUCGUGCUUUUGUUCCUGCUGCUCUGUCUGUCAGGCCCUAGAACAUUCUGUGGAUAACUUUGGAUACCAAAUCCAUCAGACUCUGGACCCACUGUGGUUACCAAAUCCACCACUACUCUCCUGCAUUUUUUACAGGAUCAGCUAGGUUAAUUGCAAGUAUCCUGAGCUUAAUAUCCCUAGAGCUCUAUGUUAACUAUGUGGCAGAGGUCACUAAUUUCUUUUCUUGGCCCUCAUACAACCUGGCUGCUUCCACUUACUCUGUGUUUGGCUGAUGGGGUCUGACCUCACCCUGUGCAGCAUGAGAGCUGGAAGGGAGCUACUCCCUGGUGAGCAGAAGACUCUGAAUUCUGGGAUGAUUUAGGUUUGUUUUGUGUUAAAGUUUGCUUAAAUCUCAGAAGGGAUUUGUAAACCAUAUAACUGUGUGAGGUAACGUAAAACUGGACAUGUCCUUCCUUGUCUUUGUAUAUUUUGAACCAGGCUAUUUAGACAGAAAAAGCACUCAUUUAUAAUUGUAUGUGAAAAUAAAAGGAAUGUUGGAUAUGAAGACUAAAUGUAAAAGUAUUAUGAUGCUGGCUUAGUACUUUAAAUAAAAUGGGGCCUUUUAGUUGGAAAGACCUGAGUCCAACACA